AUGCUUCCGCGCAGCGCCCUCCUCCGCCUGCUGCUGCUCGCGCCGCUGCUGCUGCCGCUCGCCCGGGGCCAGCCGCAGCCGACGCUCCUGCGGCAGGACAUCCAGGCGCUCUACGGUCUGCGCGCGUCCCUGGGCCUGCGCGCGCGGGACUGGCCCGCCAAGGCCGACCCCUGCGCCGCCUGGGCCGGCGUCGCCUGCCGCGCCGACCGCGUCACGAGGAUCCGGCUGGGCGGGCUCCGCCGCACCCGCGUGGGGGAACGCAGCGCCGCCUUCGCCGUCGACGCGCUGCGCGGGCUCCCGGCGCUCGAGGAGUUCAACGCCUCCGGGUUCCCGCUCCCCGGCCGGAUCCCGGCCUGGUUCGGCCGCGGCCUCCCGCCGUCGCUCGCCGUCCUCGACCUCCGCUCGGCCGGCGUCGAUGGCGAGCUGCCCCUCUACCUCGGCAUGUCCGGGAACCUGACCACCCUCGUUCUAGCCGGUAACAGCCUCUCCGGCCGGAUUCCGGCGUCAGUUUUCUCCAGUAAGGCUCUCCGGAUCCUUGACCUUUCCAACAACAACCUCACCGGGGAGCUUCCCGACGUGUCUGCCUCCGCCGGUGACAUAGCAGGAGCUCUGUUUAACGCCUCGGGGAAUUCACUCUACGGUGCGAUUGGCGAUGUCCUGGGGUCCCUCAAGAAGAGGUUUCAGGUGGUCGAUGUGUCUAGCAAUUACUUUGGCCAAGCGGCCACCACUGGAUUUCAGAAUGGCUCUGAGGGAACAGUCUACAUCAAGAUGAAUUGCUUGCCAGGCCUACCAGGCCAGCGCAGCCCUGGUGAUUGUGAGGAUUUCUUUAAGAGGAAUGGAUUGCCAUUGCCAGAACCACCACAAGCAUCCCCAUCACCGGGCAAGAAAGGCGUCAGGUGGAAACAUGUACUAGCUGGAGUUCUUGGAGCUGCAGCUAUUGUGGUUGUCCUUUCACUUGCAGCACUGGUGUUUUGCUUGGUGAGGAGGGGGAGAAGGAGGCCUAGAGGAAGAGGGCUGGAGCAGAACGACGACGGCAUCCGCUCUGGUCGCAAGAGCAGCAGUGUGAAUCCGAUGGUGAUGUCACCAUCCCGGGCAGCAAACAGUCCACCCAAGGGUUUGCCUGCCGUCGUGGAUGAGCUCACCUAUGAGCAGUUGCACCAUGUCACCGGAGGCUUUGGAGAUGAUAACCUUGUCAAGCAUGGGCGCUCUGGGGACAUCUAUCGUGGUGUCUUAGAGAGUGGCUUAAAUGUUGUCGUAAAAAAGGUCGACGUGAAGAGCAGUAAGAAGAACAUAGUGGAAUUAAGCUUUCUUGUCAAAAAAUCCCAUGCCAGGAUUGUUCCAUUGCUGGGGCAUUUGGUCAAGGAUGACGAGGAAUUGCUAGUGUACAAGUACAUGUCAAGGGGAGAUUUGACAACUGCACUGCACAGGAAGCCAGCAGAUGCUGAAGUGGGGUUAUCUUCAUUGGAUUGGAUAACAAGACUGAAGAUUGCAAUUGGCGUAGCUGAGGCCCUGUGCUUCCUUCACGAUGAAUGUAGUCCACCAUUGGUUCACAGAGAUAUCCAAGCAAGCAGUGUUCUUCUUGAUGACAAAUUUGAAGUGUGCCUUGGAAGUUUGAGUGAAAUCUGCCCUCAACCAAGUGAUGGAAGCAGGAGUUUCUUCUCUAGGAUGUUGAGAUCAUCAAAGUCUCUCGACAAGAACAUGUCAGGUCCACCUGCUAGCCGCACAUAUGAUAUUUACUGCUUUGGAAAGGUGCUACUAGAGCUAAUCACCGGGAAAUUUGGCGUGAGUGGCUCAAACGACACCGACUCAGAGGAGUGGUUGGCAAGCACUUUAGAUUACAUUGAAACCCAUGACAAGGAGAAUGUCAUAAAUAUUGUAGACCCUUCACUUGUUGUGGACGAAGACCACCUAGAAGAAGUAUGGGCAGUCUCCAUUGUAGCGAAGACAUGCCUGAAUCCAAAGCCCUCCAGGCGGCCUCUUGCUCGGUACAUCUUGAAAGCGCUGGAGAACCCGCUAGGGGUGGUGCGGGAAGAGCUCUUCUCGAGCCCCAGUUCAGCUCGGCUCACAAGUACCUCAUCCCGAAGCUCUUGGCGUUCUGCUUUCCAUGGGCACUCGUACCAGUACUCCGAGGUGCAAACAUCAGGGAAAGUACUUACCUGUAGGCAGUCAGCAAAAUCCGAAGGAAGCGACGAGGAGGAAAAUUCCUUCUCCUUCAAGAAGGCUUCGCAGGAGAUGCUCCCGGAUCCAGUAGAGCUGGAAGACAGAGCUGUUGUGUAG
rnacentral:rRNA from 1 species